rnacentral:rRNA from 1 species
CAAAAUGACUCUCGGCAACGGAUAUCUCGGCUCUCGCAUCGAUGAAGAACGUAGCGAAAUGCGAUACUUGGUGUGAAUUGCAGAAUCCCGUGAACCAUCGAGUCUUUGAACGCAAGUUGCGCCCAAAGCCGUUAGGCCGAGGGCACGCCUGCCUGGGCGUCACA